rnacentral:rRNA from 1 species
AUUGAACGCUGGCGGCAGGCCUAACACAUGCAAGUCGAACGGUAACAGGAAGAAGCUUGCUUCUUUGCUGACGAGUGGCGGACGGGUGAGUAAUGUCUGGGAAACUGCCUGAUGGAGGGGGAUAACUACUGGAAACGGUAGCUAAUACCGCAUAACGUCGCAAGACCAAAAAGGGGGACCUUCGGGCCUCUUGCCAUCGGAUGUGCCCAGAUGGGAUUAGCUAGUAGGUGGGGUAACGGCUCACCUAGGCGACGAUCCCUAGCUGGUCUGAGAGGAUGACCAGCCACACUGGAACUGAGACACGGUCCAGACUCCUACGGGAGGCAGCAGUGGGAAUAUUGCACAAUGGGCGCAAGCCUGAUGCAGCCAUGCCGCGUGUAUGAAGAAGGCCUUCGGGUUGUAAAGUACUUUCAGCGGGGAGGAAGGGAGUAAAGUUAAUACCUUUGCUCAUUGACGUUACCCGCAGAAGAAGCACCGGCUAACUCCGU